UUACGGUCACUUUACGCAGAAAACACCGGUUCCUGUAAGAUCACCGAAGUUAAGCAACGUCGAGCCUGGUCAGUAUCUAGCCUGGUCAGUAUCUAGAUUAGAGACCGCUUGGGAAUACCAGGUGCUGUAAG